rnacentral:rRNA from 1 species
AUUGAACGCUGGCGGCAGGCCUAACACAUGCAAGUCGAGCGGAUGAAGGGAGCUUGCUCCUGGAUUCAGCGGCGGACGGGUGAGUAAUGCCUAGGAAUCUGCCUGGUAGUGGGGGAUAACGUCCGGAAACGGGCGCUAAUACCGCAUACGUCCUGAGGGAGAAAGCGGGGGAUCUUCGGACCUCACGCUAUCAGAUGAGCCUAGGUCGGAUUAGCUAGUUGGUGGGGUAAAGGCCUACCAAGGCGACGAUCCGUAACUGGUCUGAGAGGAUGAUCAGUCACACUGGAACUGAGACACGGUCCAGACUCCUACGGGAGGCAGCAGUGGGGAAUAUUGGACAAUGGGCGAAAGCCUGAUCCAGCCAUGCCGCGUGUGUGAAGAAGGUCUGCGGAUUGUAAAGCACUUUAAGUUGGGAGGAAGGGCAGUAAGUUAAUACCUUGCUGUUUUGACGUUACCAACAGAAUAAGCACCGGCUAACUUCGUG